CGAUUUCAAGGACCAAUCGAUAUCGGAUUGAGUCCAAAACUUGGGAAACAUCAUAAUAUUGUGGGAGGAGUCAUUUGGUAAGUUUUGAGUAAAAUACAAUCCCUAGAACUAUACAGUACACCAACCACUCCAUUUCAGAACGAACUUCGUACGAACCGGAAUUGUCCGAUUUCAAGGACCAAUCGAUACCGGAUUAAGUCCAAAACUUGGGGAACAUCAUAAUAUUGUGGGAGGAGUCAUUUGGUGGGUUUUGAGUGAAAUACAAUCCCUAGAACUAUACAAUACACCAACCACUCCAUUUCAGAUCGAACUUCGGACGAACCUGAAUUGUCCGAUUUCAAGCCCCAAUCGAUAUCGGAUUGAGUCCAAAACUUGGGGAACAUCAUAAUAUUGUGGGAGGAGUCAUUUGGUGGGUUUUGAGUGAAAUCCAAUCUCUAGAACUAUACAAUACACCAACCACCCCAUUUCAGAACGAACUUCGUACCAACCUGAAUUGUCCGAUUUCAAGCCCCAAUCGAUAUAGGAUUGAGUUCAAAACUUGGGGAACACCAUAAAAUUGCGGGAGGAGUCAUUUGCUGGGUUUUGAGUGAAAUCCAAUCUCCAGAACUAUACAAUACACCCAUCACCCCAUUUCAGAACGAACUUCGUACGAACCUGAAUUGUCCAAUUUCAAGGACCAAUCGAUACCGGAUUAAGUCCAAAACUUGGGGAACAUCAUAAUAUUGUGGGAGCAGUCAUUCUGAUGGGUUUUGAGUGAAAUCCUAUCUCAAGAACUAUAUAAUACAC
rnacentral:lncRNA from 1 species